AUUUAAAUAGUUUAAUUAAAAUGGUGAUUUGUGGAAUCAUAGAUAUAUUUUAAAAUAUUUUAAAUA
rnacentral:tRNA from 1 species